AUUUCUUGCCUUUUAUUUAUAUAGUUUAAAAAACAUUACAUUUUCAUUGUAAAAUUAAAUAUACAUAUUUUAUAA
rnacentral:tRNA from 1 species